GACGAACGCUGGCGGCGUGCUUAACACAUGCAAGUCGAACGGAAAGGCCCUGCUUUUGUGGGGUGCUCGAGUGGCGAACGGGUGAGUAACACGUGAGUAACCUGCCCUUGACUUUGGGAUAACUUCAGGAAACUGGGGCUAAUACCGGAUAGGAGCUCCUGCUGCAUGGUGGGGUUUGGAAAGUUUCGGCGGUUGGGGAUGGACUCGCGGCUUAUCAGCUUGUUGGUGGGGUAGUGGCUUACCAAGGCUUUGACGGGUAGCCGGCCUGAGAGGGUGACCGGCCACAUUGGGACUGAGAUACGGCCCAGACGGCUACGGGAGGCAGCAGUGGGGAAUAUUGCACAAUGGGCGGAAGCCUGAUGCAGCAACGCCGCGUGCGGGAUGAAGGCCUUCGGGUUGUAAACCGCUUUCGCCUGUGACGAAGCGUGAGUGACGGUAAUGUGUAAAGAAGCACCGGCUAACUACGUG
rnacentral:rRNA from 1 species